rnacentral:lncRNA from 1 species
UUGUGUUGUACUUAAUAAAAUAUUAUUUCAUUUCAUCAAUGAAUAUAUUUUAUUGUGGUACUGACGUUGACUUUAUGGUGUUUGUAGGAUGUCUGACGAGCGCCAAGGUAGUUACUCAGUUGAGCAGGAACCCAUUGAGCAUGAGGCCACCCAAGAUGUCCCUCAUGGUCCUCCGGUAGGGGACUUGUUGAGGAGAAUCAGUCAAUUAGAAGGCAGAGUGGAAGAAUUAGAAAUAGAAAACCACACCCUCCAAUUUACUGAAGAACAAUACAAGGAUGAGGCUCAUCAAGCCCAGAUGGAGAAAGUCGAACAGAAGGAAAAAUUUGAUGAGUCCCAGUUGCAAGUUGGGAUACUGAUGGUACAGCUAGAGAAUGAAAAGGCAAAGUUUGGAGAGCUGAGCAUGAAGCAUCUGGAGAUGCAGGCUGAGUUUGACGUAGAAAUUACCGAUAAGAUACGGGUGGAAGAGGAACUCCAUGAGUUGGAUGAGCUGGUGGGCCAAUUAAAGAUCGAACUACAGGCCGUAAAGGUCAGAGUAGAAACUUUAGGACUGGCCCUUGAUGCAGCGUAUGAGGGCCAGCGCAGAGGGGCUAGGAGGGUCCACUCUGAGAUAGGAGAGUCUAGUCGAUCCGUUCGACGUAGAGUCCUGCAGUAGUUGCUUCCCUAGGAGCCUGUGCAGAUGACCUAGCAGGGCCACCAGUGGUGAUGAUGUGAUGGCCCAGUUAUAAAUAGAUGCAUUAGUACCUUUCUUGUUGUGUAAUAAGGAUUUAUGUUGAUGUAAACCUCAGUAGGUGCGAGGUAGUAAAUGGUUAGGUACUUUCCCUAAUUGUGUUUGUAGGGAGGUAUCAUUAUGAGUUAAUCCCAUCUUUUGUGUUAAAAUGGGAUAGUAGUUUGUGUUGUACUUAAUAAAAUAUUAUUUCAUUUCAUCAAUGAAUAUAUUUUAUUGUGGUACUGACGUUGACUUUAUGGUGUUUGUAGGAUGCCUGACGAGAGCCAAGGUAGUUACUCAGUUGAGCAGGAACCCAUUGAGCAUGAGUUCACCCAAGAUGUCCCUCAUGGUCCUCCGGUAGGGGACUUGUUGAGGAGAAUCAGUCAAUUAGAAGGCAUAGUGGAGGAAUUAGAAGUAGAAAACCACACCCUCCAAUUUACUGAAGAACAAUACAAGGAUGCAGCUCAUCAAGCCCAAAUGGAGAAAGUCGAACAGAGGAAAAAUUUGAAGAGUCCCAGUUGCAAGUUGAGAUACUGAGGGUACAGCUAGAGAAUGAAAAGGCCAAGUUUGGAGAGCUGAGCAUGAAGCAUCUGGAGAUGCAGGCUGAGUUUGACGUAGAAAUUGCCGAUAAGAUACGGGUGGAAGAGGAACUCCAUGAGUCGGAUGAGCUGGUGGGCCAAUUAAAGAUUGAACUGCAGGCCAUAAAGGUCAGAGUAGAAACUUUAGGAC